rnacentral:tRNA from 2 species
GCGAGCGUGGCGGAAUUGGUAGACGCACUGGAUUUAGGUUCCAGCGCCGCAAGGUGUAAGAGUUCGAGUCUCUUCGCUCGCACCA